UACGUAGGGUGCGAGCGUUGUCCGGAAUUAUUGGGCGUAAAGGGCUCGUAGGCGGUUUGUCGCGUCGGGAGUGAAAACCAUGGGCUUAACUCAUGGCUUGCUUCCGAUACGGGCAGACUAGAGGCAUGCAGGGGAGAACGGAAUUCCUGGUGUAGCGGUGAAAUGCGCAGAUAUCAGGAAGAACACCGAUGGCGAAGGCAGUUCUCUGGGACGGUACUGACGCUGAGACGCGAAAGCGUGGGGAGCGAACAGG
rnacentral:rRNA from 1 species